rnacentral:misc_RNA from 1 species
CGACGGUUGCGAUAAUGAGAGUAUUGCUUCUUGGGAGACUGAAGAAAUUGGCAGCUCCAGCUCUUUGGCGCGCAAAGCACGACUAUUUUCCGCGAACACUCAAACUACACAAUGGCGAGAAGUGCAAGCAACUGUUUUCCCCCAAAGAAAUGGAUCGGCGACUGUCCAGCAUCUGUCAUCACAUGGAGAAGGACGGCAUUGACGCAUGCGUGUUUACUUCAUAUUACAACCUUUACUAUUUCAGUGAUUUCCUGUACUGCUCGAUGGGACGUCAAUACGCUAUAAUUGUUACUGAUGAGAAGGCUGUUACCAUCACUCCAUCUGUUGACUAUGGGUAUCCAUGGAGACGUACAACUUGUGACAACAUCAGCUACACCAACUGGCACAAGGACAAUUUUUAUCACGCUAUUCAACAACAGUUACAAUCUGCAAAGACAGUGGGUUUCGAAUUCCCGGAUAUGGGAGCGUCCUUCAAAAGUUUCUCCGAGGCUUUACCGCAGGCCAAGUUUGUGGACAUUGCGGACGCGGCUAUGCAGAUACGUCGAGUUAAGUCCCCAGAAGAAAUUGAAGUUGUACGCCAGGGCUCCCGAAUAGCGGAGCUCGGGGCGUAUGCCGCGAUAAAGGCCCUUCAUGAGGGUGUUCCAGAAUACGAAGUAACUCUUGCCUCAACAAGCACCAUGGUACGAGAAAUAGCGGCAACCUACCCACACAUUGACAUUAGAGACAGUGAGUUUUGAAUCUUCCUUGAGUUCAAAAUGAGUAUUUAUUUUUUUGUGUGACAUGCGAUGGCCUAGUGUUUAGCAUGUUGGACUGCCGAUUGCGUGGUGUGGAUUGGAGCCCUGCCGGCCUACUUGCGUUUUGCACUCCAGCAACAAUGAAACCAUCCAGUACUUCUCUCAACACGAGAUCGGAGCAACUGAUAAAAUACUGGGAGGGGAGAGAUGAAAGGUCUGCGAUGACUAUGAGACGUGCAGCCUGGUCUUGGUUACAGUCAGGAAUCAAUACAGACGGAGCACAUAACUUUCCUACAAGUAGGCGGGUGCAAAAAGGAGACAUUCUUAGUCUGAACUGUUUUCCUAUGAUAGCAGGGUUUGUUAAUUUCAUCGUUAGAUGCUUGAUUUUUGGCCUUUAAAGCAGCAAUCAGAAGACUGUUCUUACUUGUCCGUCUUGUGUCCUAAGGACAAAUACCCUCGGCAUUGAGCAGUUUUAUUUAUAUUUGGUAAGAAAAAAUAAAUA